rnacentral:rRNA from 2 species
CCUACGGGAGGCAGCAGCAGGGAAUCUUGCGCAAUGGGCGAAAGCCUGACGCAGCAACGCCGCGUGGGGGAUGAAGGCCUUCGGGUUGUAAACCCCCUUCAGGAGGGAAGAAAAUGACGGUACCUCCAGAAGAAGCCCCGGCCAACUACGUGCCAGCAGCCGCGGUAAU